ensembl:lncRNA
GGAAAUUGCUGGCUUGCCGAAAUGACAUUGUUGGCAUUAACUAGAUUAACUUCUGAAAUGAAAAGCCCACGAAAGCAAAACCAAAACAGAGAAGGAGCCAUGGCUUCCGCUGGGGGCUUCACGGUUCCCUGCUUCGGCCUGCCUGACCCCCUACCCAGGGCUCCCAGCCAUCCUCCCUGGACAGGCUGGAGAGGAGGCAGGAGCCCCUUCCCUGUCUUCACACAGGACCUCACCUCACGGAUCUCGGGAAAAGAGUACUGGGCACUGAGCCCCACACUGGGACUGGGAACUCUUUCAGAAGGUUCUAGUCCGCAGGGGAGAUAGGCAGGCAUGUCAACACCAGGCAGAGUGGUGAGAGAGGAGUCAAGAAAGCCAAGAACUGAUGGACCCAGAGUCCAGGGAUCAGAGAAGCAACACCCCGGCUGAAUGACAAGCAGAUCUCCAGCCAGAGCUUCUUGAGAAGGCAAACCAGGAAGGGGGUAAGAGGAAGACACAGAGAUGCGAGGAGGAGCCAAGGGCAGUCCUGCGUGGCUGGAGCACAGAGGGAAGGGAUGACACCGUUGCAUUUAGUGGUCCCAUCAGUAGUCAUGUACGGAUGUGAGAGUUGGACCAUAAGGAAGGCUGAGCACUGAAGAACUGAUGCUUUUGAACUGUGGUGUUGGAGAAGACUAUUGAGAGUCCCCUGGACAGCAAGGAGAUCAAUCCAGACAAACGUAAAGGAAAUCAACCCUGAAUACUCACUGGAAGAAUUGGAUGCUGAAGCUGACACUCCAAUACUUUGGCCACCUGAUGCGAAGAACUGACUCAUUGGAAAAGACCCUACAAACCAUUAAGAGCUGUGAAUAAAAGAAGUAUUUGGCGCCAUGAGAAAACUUAGCAGGCCUGAGACCUGUGGGAAGAACAGGAGUGCUAAGGCAGAGACUGAAGCAGAGCAUCCAGGGGAGAGAGCACGCAUAAAGGCUAAGCAGUGGAGGCACGUCACAUGUUCAAGAAAAGAAAGGUAGUGAGGACUGACCAGCCACUGCCUGGGACCCUGCGCGCAGAGUGUAGAAGACUGCUGUUUCGCUUCCUCCUCCUAAACCUCCAGCAAACCCUCUCCAUGUGCCUUGCACACCUGGGGUAUGCAGCAGAGGGAAUUCUGGGAAAUGUAGUUCUGACUCCAUAGAGUCAGAACAUAGCUGACUCGAUACACUACAAAUGCAACACGGGUAUGCAAGGGCCAGAUCAUAUUGGGCCCUUCAACUUUGGAUGUUUUACAAGAAGUGGGAAGUGAUACUUGAUUUUCAGCAGAGGGAUGGAGAAUAGCAUGACCCAUUUUAUGUUUUUAAAAGUCCCUGUGGGAGCUUCUCUGGUGGUCCAGCCGUUGGGACUUCACCCUCCAGCGCAGGGGGUGUGUGUUUGAACCCUGGUUAGAGAGCUAGAAGUCUUCCCAGGUGACUCAGUGGUUAAAAAAAAAAAAUCCUUCUGCCAGUGCCAGAGACACAAGAGGCUCGGGGUCAGUCCCUGGGUUGGGAAGAUCCCCUGGAGGAGGAAAUGGCAACCCACUCCAGGAGCUUGCCUGGAGAAUCCCAUGGACAGAGAGCCUGUGGGCUACAAUCC